GACGAACGCUGGCGGCGUGCUUAACACAUGCCAGUCGAACGGAAAGGCCCUGCUUUUGCUGGGUGCUCGAGUGGCGAACGGGUGAGUAACACGUGAGUAACCUGCCCCUGACUUUGGGAUAUCUUCAGGAAACUGGGGCUAAUACCGGAUAGGAGCUCCUGCUGCAUGGUGGGGGUUGGAGAGUUUCGGCUGUUGGGGAUGGACUCGCGGCUUAUGAGCUUGUUUGUGGGGUAGUGGCUUACCAAGGCUUUGACGGGUAGCCGGCCUGGGAGGGUGACCGGCCACAUUGGGACUGAGAUACGGCCCAGACUGGUACGGGAGGCAGCAGGGGGGAAUAUUGCACAAUGGGCGGAAGCCUGAUGCAGCAACGCCGCGUGCGGGAUGACGGCCUUCGGGUUGUAAACCGCUGUCGCAUGUGACGAAGCGUGAGUGACGGUAAUGGGUAAAGAAGCACCGGCUAACUACGUG
rnacentral:rRNA from 1 species